UUUUUUGUCUACCUGUCUGCAGAGUCCUCUGUUUUCUUGCUAAACUUCCACAGUUGUGGUUCCAUCAGGCUCAGCGAGCGCAUUUGCAGGAUCAGCAUGCCUGAAAUAACUUACUCCCAUCGAAUAAGAAACUGAGUCAGAGCUGAGUAGCUGUGUAGUUUGGAUGUAGCCAGGAUCCCGGCUUCCUACUGGACAAGCGUGCCAGAGCAGGAAGUAGUGUUUACACUGAAUGCAUGAGACUUCAUAGUCUGUUCCUCUUUUCCUUUAACAGAAAUUUAACUAGGCAAAUAAAAUAAAGAAAAAGGGAUAUAGUCAGACUGACUACCACCCACUCUCCCAAAGCAAGUGUUCAAUAAUUUAACAAGUUGUUCUGGGGUUGUUGGAUUAUGGUUGUUUCUUUUCUUGUGGUUUCCAGCUUUUCUCUGUGAGCUAUUUUUAUAUUAUGAAAAAGUAAGUUUUGCUUGAAAGAUAAUAGUGUAAACAUUGAUCAG